UGCUUCUUAAUGAUAUUUAGAUAUUCUUGGCUCCACAGAAUAUCAUGCAACCAUGUUUUUGCACUUUUUAUCCAAGCAUGCAUUUACCUUCAAAAAACUUUAUAGGGUUUCUAUAGUAUAAUUUAAAUAUUAGUAGUAAAGGUUGAUUUAGACUCUUAUUAUUUGGAAUAACCAUGUUUUGAAGGUUAUUUAUAUUUGGGUACUGGUUUGGUUAAUUCUAUUUCUGAUUGAGGAUACAAACAGUGUCCUGUAUGCUAUACUAAUUCAAGCACAAGUAGUAAACUUUCACAUUCCUAAAGAUAAAAGAAUUAUAGAAACCAAUCUGUUUUGCUUUUGCAGGAUAUGAACAGAGGAGAGGAGAUUGCAGGUUUCUCUAUCACAUGUGUUAUUAAUCUUUAGGAAUUUUUCACCAAUUUCGUAGUGUUUGGAAGAGAGUCUCUGGCUCUGCGCUCUGCACUAAAUAGGAAAACUGCUGUUGAGGGAUCAAACUUCAAAAUUGGUACUCUAGGUUGGAAUACUCUGUGUUUUCCUCUCUACUUCCAUGAUCUCAAUGUUCCUUUAUUCUGUCUAUAAUAGCUUUUGAUUAGUAAUCUAUGAAGAAACAAGUAGUAUAGUUUUUCAAUGCUAUUUUUCCUUGCCUUGUUCUUGCUCUCAAUGCAGACUACAUCAGUAAGGGAAGAACACAACAAAUAAGGAUAUGAUUCUUGCAGGCUGCAUCUUUUGGUGAAUUUUCUCUUUGAAAAUUCACUAACCAAACCUGCUGACUCAUCUAUGAACAAUGUGAUGUGCAUUUAUUUUUUACUAUCUAGUUUAUGCCUUGCUUGUAGAUUCUAAAGUCAUUUUAGCUACACAUUCACGGGUUGUAGAUGAUGAAGUUACUAAGAAUAAUAAAAUAUUCUUGAAGAGUGUGGAAAGUUAAAGAUUCAUGAACCAUCUUUAUUACUUACACUCCAAGAAAGCCAACAAAUUUCGACACAAUGCUAUAAGUUAAAACACCAUUCAAAAGUAGAAUGUGGUCCACAGCCUAUGAAGAAUAACUAUCUAGUAACAUGUACAUAACAGUUGGUUAAAGGGCAUGUCCACUCAUUUUCUUAUCUUAUAUAGUAGUUUUCUAGAGAUUCAGUCUAUGUUGUUUAUAUAUAUAUAUACUUUUUUUUAAAUAACCAAUGUUAUAAUUAGUUGUUAAUUUUUGUUAGAGAGAAGAGUUGAUCUCAUGACAUCAUUAUCACUCCAACUCCUCCAAAGCACCCAACCACCUUAUCACUCUCUCAGUCUAUGUUGUUUAUAUACCAUGCAUGAUCCAUCUCAUCUAUCCUUAUCCACCUAUGGUGGAUUUUUCUGCUUGUUUUUUCCUUGGUGCCAUGUUAAAAUAUUUAAGUAGAGUAGUUGGUAAUGAUACAACUACUAUGGUUGGGCAUAGUUACUAGGUCAGUUAUUGCUUUCUCUUUAAAAUUUGAGAAAAAUAAUUUAUAAUUUUUAAACUAUGUGGACUAAAUUAUCUUUAGUUAUAUCAUGUUUUUAUAUUUUUUAGAAUUGUCCUUACUAAUGCUUUGUUUUUUUCACAACUCCAUCAUAUAUAUCAUCACCUUCUUUAACCUUUUCUUUUCAUUAUAACCAUACUCUAUAACUCAAAUUAUUCUGAUUAAUAAAUAUUAUUUUAUCUAGUCUCCACUCCCUUUGGACCACACAAGGAGAGAAAAUUUUAAUUUUCUUGUCCUUGUUAAAAUUAUUUUCAUCUCCUCGCUUUUCUCUAUCACACCAAACAAUGUAUUAAUGUAUGUUUGCAAUACAUGGCUAAAACAGUAGUAAAACUACUAUAUUAUUAUUAUUAUUAUAGGUUUCCUCCAUCAAAAAUAAUUUUAUUUGAAAUAUUGUGGAUAUUAAAUAUGAGCACCUCUUUCAAUUGGAACUCAGACCAUGGUUCUAAGCUUUUUUUUUUUUACAAUAAAUUAUAUUCAGUGUUAGUAAGUGGUAACAAUGACUGAAAUAUAAUGUAAAAGCAUCAACCAUAAAGUUUAAUAAGAUUCAUAAAAUAAAACACUGAACUGAAAGUGCAUGUUUUAUUCAGGGUGUACACAAGUGAGCUGCUAGCUCUUCUUAUCCACUAUAAACAACAACAAAGUUACAAGACAACUCAAAGAAGCUGUG